rnacentral:lncRNA from 1 species
GCCUGGCCUGCCUACAGACAUCCCCUUCCCUGUAGAGCUCACUCCAUGCCCGUCCUCGUGUCCUUGGCUGUCCUCAGUGAGUGGCCGUGGAUGGCCACUUUGCAGUCACCUGGGCAGCUCAGCCCAGUGUGGAUGCUAGUAUCCCAACCCUGGAACCCUCGGGUAUGCCUCGGUGUUGGGCUUGGAACACAGAGUCCAGGCUGUUGAUUGGGAGCCUGCUGGAGGCCACUGUGUUAAGAGACUGAGCAUAUAGCACUGGAUCAGGCUGAGGGGUAAGAUUCAGGGCCUUGCCUGUCCUCUCUGACGCCUGGGUCUUUGUAGGAGACUUGGGCCGUUGUGGUCCAUGCUGUUGGCGGAGAUGGCUGGCCUCUUCACCAGAACCACCCUGUCAGAUGUGCAAAAGCCUUUCAUUUUGUUCUUAAACAGACUCCCAUUUUCUUGGAUGGUUUCCUGAUCUUUGGCUUUGGCUUUCUUCUGAAGGAAGUAGUUUAUAAUAUGUAGAUUGUUCCUUGAGAAGGAAAAUCUCAGAAGCAUUCUGUUAGUUUUAUUGCUUCAUCCUUAACGCUGAGGAAAGUGUGCGACUCAAAAACAUCUGGACCUCCACAGUUGGCUGUGCCCUGGAGGACCGGUGGAACUGCUCAGUAGAAGGUGUGUUAUUUAUUUAUGGCAGGGUAGAGAGUUAGAUACAGAGCCCCACAUGCUAGGCAAGUGACCUACCACUGAGUUCCCUCCCAGUCCCUAAAGGUGUGUUAUGCAGUAGCAUGUCUGUGUGUGUGACUGACCCUGUGUGUGUGUUGAAGACUGGCUUGUGGGCUGUUUGUUUUAUGCCUUCCCCAUCCCCAGUCCCCACCCUGUAGAGUUUGGCCAUUGAUUGGGUCUUCUAGUUUUCCCGUAAACUGGACAUCAGUACUCAGGCUUUGAUAAAUUACUUGCUUUCCCUAUUUCUGGGUAGCAUCGAAUAAGGGCAUCAAGAAGACGAGUGGCAUAGCUCAGUGACGGAGUAAUUGUCUAGCAUGCAGGGGGUCGACCCUCAGUGCCAUGUCAACCUGGCUGUGGUGACGGAUGCAUGCCUUUAAUCCUAGCCCUCGGAAGGAAGGAUUCGAAGUCAAGGAUCAUCCCUGGCUACGCAGGGAGUUGGAGGUCAGUUUGGGCCACAAAGGAAUUUUAUUUUAAAAACAAAAUACCAACUCCAAUAAAUGCUGACACUGACUUUAUCAACCAAGUUGGCUUAC